UACGUAGGGAGCGAGCGUUGUCCGGAUUCAUUGGGCGUAAAGAGCUCGUAGGCGGCUCGAUAAGUCGGAUGUGAAACCUCCAGGCUCAACCUGGAGUCGCCAUCCGAUACUGUCAUGGCUAGAGUCCGGUAGGGGCCCACGGAAUUCCUGGUGUAGCGGUGGAAUGCGCAGAUAUCAGGAGGAACACCGGUGGCGAAGGCGGGUCUCUGGGCCGUUACUGACGCUGAGGAGCGAAAGCGUGGGGAGCGAACAGG
rnacentral:rRNA from 1 species